CAAUUCAACUUGCCACAAAUAAGUUCAGUGGGUGCUUCGCCCAAAUCCAAAGGUUGAAUCAAAGUGGAAAGACUGAAAAAGAUAAGAUUCUUGAUGCGAAGAAAUUAUACAAAGAGUUGUACAAAUCGUCAUUUCCAUUUGAACAUUGUUGGCAUGAGUUAAGAGAUCAACCAAAAUGGCGAGAGGAAUAUAGCAUGAAGAAACAAAAA